UUUUAUGGAGAGUUUGAUCCUGGCUCAGGAUGAACGCUGGCGGCGUGCCUAAUACAUGCAAGUCGAGCGAACGGACGAGAAGCUUGCUUCUCUGAUGUUAGCGGCGGACGGGUGAGUAACACGUGGAUAACCUACCUAUAAGACUGGGAUAACUUCGGGAAACCGGAGCUAAUACCGGAUAAUAUUUUGAACCGCAUGGUUCAAAAGUAAAAGACGGUCUUGCUGUCACUUAUAGAUGGAUCCGCGCUGCAUUAGCUAGUUGGUAAGGUAACGGCUUACCAAGGCAACGAUGCAUAGCCGACCUGAGAGGGUGAUCGGCCACACUGGAACUGAGACACGGUCCAGACUCCUACGGGAGGCAGCAGUAGGGAAU
rnacentral:rRNA from 1 species